UACGUAGGGUGCAAGCGUUAAUCGGAAUUACUGGGCGUAAAGCGUGCGCAGGCGGUUUUGUAAGUCUGUCGUGAAAUCCCCGGGCCCAACCUGGGAAUUGCGAUGGAGACUGCAAGGCUAGAAUCUGGCAGAGGGGGGUAGAAUUCCACGUGUGAGCAGUGAAAUGCGUAGAGAUGUGGAGGAACACCGAUGGCGAAGGCAGCCCCCUGGGUCAAGAUUGACGCUCAUGCACGAAAGCGUGGGGAGCAAA
rnacentral:rRNA from 1 species